rnacentral:rRNA from 1 species
UACGAAGGGUGCAAGCGUUACUCGGAAUCACUGGGCGUAAAGGGCGCGUAGGCGGACUCUUAAGUCGGUGGUGAAAUCCUGGAGCUCAACUCCAGAACUGCCUUCGAUACUGAGAGUCUCGAGUCCGGGAGAGGUGAGUGGAACUGCGAGUGUAGAGGUGAAAUUCGUAGAUAUUCGCAAGAACACCAGUGGCGAAGGCGGCUCACUGGCCCGGUACUGACGCUGAGGUGCGAAAGCGUGGGGAGCAAACAGG